GGGUAAGGCGGAGGGAGGCAGGCAGAGCCGUGGUCAGGCUGGGUUGAGGCAAGAGCGACGGCGAACGUAGGCCGCUCCCCACUCCGCGUCUCUUUCACAUUUGUUUCCUUGGCUGCAGAUUCGCUCAACCGUGUCUUGCGACCAAGGAACUGGGGCUAACACAACGUGUGCAAAAUAAUUUGUAUCCCAUCUGCUCCAAAGAAGACAAAUCUAGCCCAUCCUGGCAAAACCCUAGUGAAUCAACUCCAAUUCCCUUAAAGUACAAUUACGUCCUUCCUAAAAUGUGGGUGGGUACUCUACUCCAGUUACAGCAAGUAUUUUGUAUGACAUAACAUCGCUGGUCUUGUAUUCUAUGGUCUGCUUAAUAAGGUCAUCGACUUGUUGUAUUAUCUUCAGGGACCUUUGGAAGUUUAUACAAAAGUUCCUGUGUUUCUUUGCACUUCCAUUGUGUAAUUUCAAUCUUCUCAUCCUCCAAGUUCUUACAAAUGCAAAUAAUUAGCCCUCCUAUAGAACAUUUUGUUCAGGGUAUGGAUUUUUUUAAAUGAUACACUUCAAGUUGGUAGGGGGAAUAUAACCUAAUACAACUAUUAUUGAGCUGGGCACAAUUUUAUGACUAAUGAUAACAUUAUCUUGACUCUUUAAUAAAAAUUAAUUUGCCAAUUUUCCUGAUUUCCAGAGUACUUCAGCAAUGCACAAAAUAAAUGAUAUCCUGUUGAAUAGACACUAUUCCAAAGCAAAUUGUUUUACAUAUCUAGAAUGGUAGAGUGUUCCAGUGUGGAAAUGCACAUAUUUUGCUUUUAUUUACAAGACUUCAAUUAAUAGAAGUCUUCUUACGUUGCCUCUGAAUGCAAAGUUUCUCAUUUUGAAUAUUUAUUUGCCUAAUUACUCUGAAAUGUACAUUACAUUUCACCUGAAGCAAGCAAGCAGUCAUACAAGAAAACCAAAUGAAUAUGACCAUAGUUGAUGAAUUCUUUCCUUAUUGUUCAAUCUUCACUUAUAAUCUGGUUAUUAUUUUGAUAAAUGUAUGCUGCUCUGUUUUCAGGGCCAAUACCCCUUUCCUCAGAUGCAGUAUAACAAGGGUUGAUAUUUCCUUAGUUUAAUGUCUACCUCUUAUAUUCCAUUUCACUGCUCCAUUAGUCUUUUUGAUAAAAUGUCAUGGAAAUUAUUGAACUAUCAGUAUAGACUCAACUAGAUCUUUACUGUUUUAACUUUUUUGUUAUUCCUUUCCGUUCCUUGUGGCGCAUGGGGCAGCAACCUUGCUGUAUUUUUAGCAUUUUUCUCUUUAUUACAAGGCCCAGUUGCCAGCUCGACACUCAGAUCAGCACAGAUGGAAAGCAUGCAAGGUGCUGACCAGAUUUGAGCCCAGGACCAUUUGCCUCAGUCUGUUGUGGAUGCUACUACACCACCAUUUUCUUUUUACCAAUUAGAAAAUACUUUAGUCUUUUGUUUUAGUCCAUAAUAGAAUAACAUCAAAAUGGAAAAGCAUUAGGAUGGGGAUGCUAUGUGAACCUUUCGCCAGAGCAUCUGCAAUGUUCUUGAUUCUUCCCUGAAAUUUCUUUUGUUCUUGUCACUUAUGUUCAUUAACAGAUUUAUCCAACUUACUGUGGGAAAAUGGUUCUUGGCUCUCUCUGGUCAACUUUCCGUAGAACUCAAAUCUUCGGGGGUAGUUUUGUGUAUUUCCUUUUUGCACAUGAUAUGAAGAUGUAAGCAAUCAAAAUAUUAUAAAUAUUCAUAUAUUGUCAGGCUGUUAAUUAAAUUAGGCUCAGACCAAAUCUAAUUUGGCUCCCCUUGGUUGUUCAAGGACACUGUUAUUAAGCUAUCCUGAUAACACAGGUAUAAUCUAGUCUGUUCCUAAUCCAUAUUAAAUUUAAAAUCCCUCAUUAACACUGCUGUCUGUUUCUGUAGACUUGUUUAACCUCUUCAUUUCCACAUUUUUGCUGCAUAACUACUACAAGGUGUCCAUAUACAAUUGCCUUAGGAAUCUUAAAUAUUUCUUUGAUUCACAAACUAAUCAUAACCUUUGAAGUGAUUUCAUUGCUAUUCCUACCACAGCCCCACCCCCACCCC